GAAUAUGAUAAUUAUGCCUUUUUGUAAGAUUUUUUAAAAGCCACUCCCAAAGUACUCAUGCCUGUUAUUUUCUAGUUGUGCUUAUUUAACACCUAUUUUUUUGAAUUUCGUUUAGUUUUUAUGCAAACAAAUGAAAGAAUUUUUGUUGGUUUUAAUACACUGCUUCAGAGGUUUUGAUGCUAGGUGGUAGGAACACUUGGUUUAUUGUGUUUGUUUGAUUGCAGGGACUUGUUCACAGAUUGAGAAAAUUGUGUGCAGUAAAUUCGACGGAGGAAAAUAACACAUGACUAUGACAAAAGGUUGAAAAUAUACAUUUUUUUUAUUGAUAGUCAAGAAUCAAAAUCUGGAAAAUAAUAAGGUGUGUCAUCUUAUGCUUCUAGAUGUCCCAGGUUUCAAGUCACAGGGCAGACUCUUUUUAGCUCACCUGUCACGAAGUUGCGUGUGUCCGUCAAAAAUUUGUUUGUGUAGACAGUAGAGGUCACAGUUUUCAUCCAAUCUUUAUGAAAUUUAGUCAAAAUGUUUAUCUUGAUAAAAUCUGGGUUGGGAUUGUAUUUGGGUCAUCUGGGGUCAAAAACUAGGUCACUAGGUCAAAAACUAGGUCACAUAAUAGGUCAAAUAAUAGAAAAACCUUGUGUAGACAAUAGAGGUCACAGUUUUCAUCCAAUCUUUAUGAAAUUUGGUCAGAAUGUUUAUCUUGAUAAAAUCUGGGUUGGGAUUGUAUUUGUGUCAUCUGGGGUCAAAAACGAGGUCACAAGAUCAAAUAAUAGAAAAACCUUGUGUAGACAAUAGAGGUAACAGUUUUCAUCCAAUCUUUAUAAAAUUUGAUCAGAAUGUUUAUCUUGAUGAAAUCUGGGUUGGGAUUGUAUUUGGGUCACCUGGGGUCAAAAACUAGGUCACUAGGUCAAAAAAUAGAAAAACCUUGUGUACACAAUAGAGGUCACAGUUUUCAUAUAAUCUUUAUGAAAUUUGGUCAGAAUGUUUAUCUUGCUGAAAUCUGUGUUGGGAUUGUAUUUGGUUAGUAAGGCGAGCGAUUCAGGGCCAUCAUGGCCUUCUUGUUUAUCUUUAUACUAUUCAAAACUAUUCAAAUAUUACAUUGUUUUUGUUGUUUGCAAAAUCAUUUUAUGACAUUAAAAAAAAAGAAUGGAAAUAUAUGAACAUGUCCUUUUAAGUUAAGAUACAGUGAAAAAUGAUAAAAAGACUUAUUAUUUAUUUUGAUAUUUUUAUCUCAUUGCCAUAAGGUCAUUUUUUGCUAAAUUGAUAUUUGUAUCUUGGUGUAUUUAAUACAUGAAAUAAUUGAAGCAUUAGAAGUAUCACACAUAAAUGCAUGUUUUUUUGUGUAAAAAUGCUGAACCAUUUUUGUAUGCACCAGUAUAUUAGGAAGUGGAUUUGGUCAGAAACAAAAUGUUAAUUUGUUUCAUAAGUCAUUAUGCAGUACCCAGUGAUGUGUUCUAUUUGUAGAAGGCUUUGCUCAUACAUUAUUAUUAUUAUUAUUCAUAUUACCAUUAUUAUGAUAAUUAUGGUUAUAAUUAUUAUUUAUGAUAUGAUUGCUAUAAUUAUGAUAGUUAUUACCGUACAUAUUAUUAUUAUUGUGUUGUUAUGUUAUUGUGUUCAAGAGAAGGUUCAUAGAUCAGUACACUGUGUUGAUUUACACUGUUCAAUGAGUUAUACACUUAUGUAUAAUCAAAGUGCUGGAGGCACUGAAGCUGUUCGCUAUUGCAUAAUCUUAGACGCAACUCAGUUUUCACAAUUAUGUUAUAGCUUUUUAUAUUACAAUUUUGAAAUGAACACAGCCCAUUCAAAUUUGUAAAGAGUUUGUCUUAAAGCACAGGUCGAGAUGUGUGUGCACUGUUUAUCCUCAUAUUUAUGUUAUAGAGAUAACUUUGACAAAAUAACAACAAUAUGUCUCUUUUUUUGCAAUGGGUUGCUGCACUGGCAACCAUCUUUAGAAUUUUGGUUGCCUUGCUAAAGAAUAACAAGCCUAGAAUCAUGUACAUGUUGUGUUAUUUGUAUCUAAUACAUGAUCUAUUUUCUUUAAAUUAUUUAGCAACAAUUUUGCCCACAUGAGAGACUUUUAAUGCAUCAUGUCUUGUUGUGAGCCGGAAUUGAAACAUUUCCUUGGCCUAAUUGAUCCACAGUCAACAGUUUGUAUUCUAUGUUUAAUUGGAUUGAGUUGUUCAAGCUUUGAAAAAGCUAGUUACCCUGCUUUUUAGCCCAACUGUAACCAACUUUUGACAUUGAGUUUACUGGGCUUAAAUAUACUGGCCCCAGGCUAACAGGCAACCACUAAACCUGUAAGUUAUUAAUUAUGUUAGAUCUGACAGUGUAUUGAACUCAUUCAAUUUGCAAGUCUGAAGACAUUACAGGGACCUUUUCACGUUUUGUAAAAUUGACAAAAUUAAACGAUUAAAUAAUU